CAUUAUAAAGCAGACCAGUAUAAUUGAAUACUACGACGCUCAGCUCGUUGUCACAAAUAGACGGGGAAUUCCCUUUUGGAGAUUUUAUAAUAUGUGUUGACUUCGUAAUCUGUUGAUCAGAUCAUUGGAAUCAGAAUAGAAGAAAGCUGUGUAUAUUAAUUCUGUUACUAUAACAGCACCGUGAUGUCUAACACAUCACUCCGACAAGUUGUCAACCACCAGAGUCUUAAUUUCAACCACCCUUGUAAUGUACAAAUAGGUGAGCACAACAUACAAAACCAGCUAAAAGAGGAUAAUGACAGGAUGAAGAAUGAAAUACAACAACUCCAAUUAGACAAACUGAGUCUCGCUGACAAGAUACAGAAACAAGCUGAUGAGAUAGAGCAACUCAAGUCAAGGGUGAAAGUUCUGGAAGAUAAGACGGAUAUGAUUACUCUUGAUAUAUACCUCGAUUUUGGUAGUUAUGUGAUAACUAUAAGUGUAAGUAGAUGUAGCAGUAUAAGUGAAGUGGAGAAGAUGGUACAGAACCAGAUUAGAAGGAAGUAUGGUAAAGAUGGUGAUGGUCAUAUUGAGUGUAUCUGUGGGGUAGUGAAUCGGGGAAAUAUCCUCUACCAGUGUAAGAACGAUAAAGAUCGACCAUUAAAACAUUUUGGUGUACAAUGUGGAGAUGAAGCCUUGUGGCACUGCUAAUUGUUAAAGGGACAAUAACACUCUUGCUGGCUUGACAGCUCCAUAAAAUCAAAAAUAGCCUUAUUCUAAGUACUGGAUGACCUGAUGUGUAAAUUAUCCAUUAAAUCCAAUUUUACUUGUCCAGUGGGUUCAAAAGUAUUUUUAAAUCCGAGUCACAUUUGAAAAGCUUUACGUCAGGCCUUUCAAAUCAUUUAGUUGAAUUUUUCCAAUUUUUUUAAAUUAGGUGUGUUAAGAUGAAAUUUAUAUCAUCAAUUAAUUGGAAUAUUGUAAAAUAGUACAAUUUGUUGACCAGAAUAAAGAUUGGGACAUAUUGUUCAGUUACAACAAGAGUAGUAUUGAGCCUUUAAAAGACAAUUUCUAUUAUAUUUAUAUUGCACGGUAUAUAAAUAUGACGAUUAUAACGCUGACGAGGAAUAUGUACAGUGGUAAACGAGAGAAAAUGUCGGGGAAAAAUGGCAGUCGUCUGUUGUAUUGUGUAUUAUGGCGUAACAAGUGUGUAUAUAUAAUCCAAACUGUGUAUAUAAUCCGAACAAAAUAUGUUUAUUAUGGUGUUCAAAGUGGGGAUAUAACUAAGCUACUGGUGGUAACAUUAAUCAUUCAUGCAUUACUCUACUAUAAUUGGUUUGACAACACAAUUAUUGCUUAAACGAGAAGCACAGGUCCGUGAAAAUGAACUAGAUUUUGUUUGUCUUUCAUAUUCAAUCUUGAUUCAAACAAAAUUUUACCACGCCUAUAUACUUGUACAGUAUAUUUUAUAUAUACUUGUACAGUAAUAUAUUUCACAAUCUGUUAUCAUUGUUUAACGGUUAGAUUGUCUCCUUUAAAUCCUGACCAGUAUUUAUUGUGGUGUAAUUUGAAAUCUUAUACCCGAUAUUAGUUUAUUUCUGUUCAAUUGUAAACUUAUGUAUUGGAUGAAAUAAAGAUUUA